ensembl:misc_RNA 7SK 7SK RNA
GGAUGUGAGGGCGAUCUGGCUGUGACAAUCUGUCACCCCAUUGAUUGCCAGGGUUGAUGCGACUGAUCUGGCUGGCUAGGUGGGUGUCCCCUUCCUCCCUCACUGCUCCAUGUGCGUCCCUCCCAAAGCUGCUCGCUUGGUGGAAGAGGAAGGCCUUCCCGGAAUAGAGAUGGGACCAGUCUUCCAUGGAGGUUAUAGGAGUAGCUGCGCUCCCCUGCUAGAACCUCCAAACAAGCUCUCAAGAACUUUGAAAGUCAAUGUGACCACCUUGAUUCUUAUCUUGGGAAAGUUCACAUCAACUUUUUGUCU